rnacentral:rRNA from 1 species
GACAGAGGUCAGCAACGUUGUUCGGAAUUACUGGGCGUAAAGCGCGUGUAGGCGGCUAAGUAAGUCGGGCGUGAAAUCCCACGGCUCAACCGUGGAAGUGCACUCGAAACUGCAUAGCUAGAGUCCUGGAGAGGAAGGUGGAAUGCUUGGUGUAGAGGUGAAAUUCGUAGAUAUCAAGCGGAACACCGGUGGCGAAGGCGGCCUUCUGGACAGUGACUGACGCUGAGACGCGAAAGCGUGGGGAGCAAACAGGG